rnacentral:sRNA from 1 species
GCCGGGUGUGGUGGCUCACACCUGUAAUCCCUGCACUUUGGGAGGCCGAGGCGGGUGGAUCACUUGAGGCCAGGAGUUUGAGACCAGCCCGGGCAACAUGGUGAAACCUCAUCUCUACUAAAAAUGUCAAAAAAUUAGCCGGGCAUGGUGGCAUGUGCCUGUAAUUUCAGCUACUUGGGAGGCUGAGGCAGGAGAAUAGCUUGAACCCAGGAGGCAGAGUUUGCAGUGAGCUGAGAUCACGUCAUUGCACUCCAGCCCUGGGCAACAGAGUGAGACUCCAUCUCA